GAUGAACGCUGGCGGCGUGCCUAAUACAUGCAAGUCGAGCGAACAGACGAGGAGCUUGCUCCUCUGACGUUAGCGGCGGACGGGUGAGUAACACGUGGAUAACCUACCUAUAAGACUGGGAUAACUUCGGGAAACCGGAGCUAAUACCGGAUAAUAUAUUGAACUGCAUGGUUCAAUAGUGAAAGACGGUUUUGCUGUCACUUAUAGAUGGAUCCGCGCCGCAUUAACUAGUUGGUAAGGUAACGGCUUACCAAGGCAACGAUGCGUAGCCGACCUGAGAGGGUGAUCCGCCACACUGGAACUGAGACACGGUCCAGACUCCUACGGGAGGCCGCAGUAGGGAAUCUUCCGCGAUGGGCGAAAGCCUGACGGAGCAACGCCGCGUGAGUGCUGAAGGUCUUCGGAUCGUAAAACUCUGUUAUUAGGGAAGAACAAAUGUGUAAGUAACUAUGCACGUCUUGACGGUACCUAAUCAGAAAGCCACGGCUAACUACGUG
rnacentral:rRNA from 1 species